rnacentral:rRNA from 1 species
GGCGAUUGCGAUGGAGCACUCUGAGCGCAAUUCUGUGUGUGUGAAGAAGGUUUUAGGACUGUAAAACACUUUUAGUAGGGAAGAAAGAAAUGACGGUACCUACACAAUAAGCGACGGCUAAAUACGUGCCAGCACCCGCGGUAAUACAAUUCCA